rnacentral:snRNA from 1 species
ACACAUUGCCAGCGCAUACUCUAUGACUCAAACGAUAAUGAGAAGAUCAGUAUGGCGUUUGCGCAAGAAUAACACACGAAAUCGCGAAGCAUUCAACAUUAUU